AACCCUCGGGUUGCAGUCUGCGUAAACAGACUGAUGGCUGGUGACUUUUUGGUCACCAGCCU
rfam:Plautia stali symbiont DNA, complete genome.